rnacentral:rRNA from 1 species
CCUACGGGAGGCAGCAGUGAGGAAUAUUGGUCAAUGGGCGUAAGCCUGAACCAGCCAAGUCGCGUGAGGGAUGAAGGUUCUAUGGAUCUUAAACCUCUUUUAUAAGGGAAUAAAGUGUGGGACGUGUCCUGUUUUGUAUGUACCUUAUGAAUAAGGAUCGGCUAACUCCGUGCCAGCAGCCGCGGUAAUACGUAGGAUCCGAGCGUUAUCCGGAUUUAUUGGGUUUAACGGGUGCGUAGGCGGCCUUGUAAGUCAGCGGUGAAAGUCUGUGGCUCAACCAUAGAAUUGACGUUGAAACUGGGAGGCUUGAGUAUGUUUGAGGCAGGCGGAAUGCGUGGUGUAGCGGUGAAAUGCUUAGAUAUCACGCAGAACCCCGAUUGCGAAGGCAGCCUGCCAAGCCAUGACUGACGCUGAUGCACGAAAGCGUGGGGAUCAAACAGGAUUAGAUACCCCUGUAGUC